rnacentral:tmRNA from 1 species
GGGGCCGAUCCGGAAUCGACCGGGCAAGGAAGGCUUGACGUCGCGCGCCGUGGAGCAUGCUUGCCACGUAAAAAGUAUGCAAAACCAAAACUGCCAACACGCAGUACGCUCUCGCAGCCUAAUUAGGCAGCGCGGAGAUCCGGCCUCACGCCCGAUAGGGCCGGACUCCGUCAAAAUCGGGCUGGUUCCCCCAAGCUGGCAUGCUGAGGGGGAACGAGACUCUUUCGUAUGCCUUGGCCCGAACACACGCUGCCGUCGGCGGAGUGCCGGGACGAGAACAGAAACGAUGGACACGCGCGUAGAAGCGGCUUGCUGAUUGCAUCGGCACUGGGGUUCAAAUCCCCACGGCUCCACUU